GAACUCGGGAGAGCUGCCGUCCCUGACCUCGACCUGAGACGUGGAGGAGGGACAGGGAAAAAGCCUUCUUCUCGCAGCUGCAGGUUGCCCCACCGAGGGCAUUUUUCCGCACCGAGGGGGCGGGGGGCAGAAUGCACGCCAGAAAACCUAAGUGCGCUGGGUUUAAAAUAGCAACAACAACAAAAAUUACAAAUAACCAAAAAACAGCAUAAGAAUUAAAAACAGUUAUAUUCCAAUGUUUUUAAUACUUGGUUCACAUUUUGGAUGCUCUCCCCAGGGAUCCGACGGCGCUGCGGAGGCGGCAGCGAUGUUUGGGAUCCUAAAGAAAGCAUCAGACCAGACUCAGGUCUGGACGUCCCUCAAGUGGCCCGGAGGUACCGAUAUUAGUGUCACCGCCGUCAGUGCCCUGCCCAGAAAUAAAACCUUUGUUCUGAGAGAAAUUGAAAAGCUGGAAAAUAUGGAGUAGGCGAUGUGAAGAGAAACUACAGGGAAUGUAGAGGUCGGGUUUUAAAUGCGUAUUUCCUCAAGGAUGUUGUGGAAGCAGAGACAAGGUGGCUGGCCUGGAGCAGGCUGGAGGACCUCCAAGGAUCUCCACAGGGAGGCAGUUACAUUUAACACCCUACCUAGCAAAAGAAGAAAAGAACAACCCCAUGAAAACAUCCCUGGGGUUUUAACAAAGGAAUCCCUGACAAAACGUGACUGAUAACUAGGACAGAACUGAAAAGUGGAAGUAAAGUCAAUCCCGACCCCCCAGGACGCCUGGGAACUCAGGGAAGCGCCUCCAGAAGGGAACAGCUCAGAAACCCUGACCAGACCUGGCGGACAAGAACCGUGUGGGCGGGGGACAGGAACGCCCACCCAGAGGCCGGGAGAGCAUGGUCCAGGACUGGCAGCCACUAACAGCCUCUGAAUGAAACUGAGGAAGGAAGUCAAUGGUAAUCGGGACCAUUAGGGUGCACCAGGGCAUAUAGAACAGUCGGGGACGGUAAGAAAACAUUCCUUCCAGAGACAUUCACUGGCACCUCCCGCGCAGACACACUGCCAGGCCCGGGAAUCGCAGAGAUGAACUGGGAGACUUGUCUGCCCUGGAGAACUCACAGCUGUUGAGCAGCAAAUCUCUUCAACCUUUCGGAGAUGGACUGCAUUUCCUACCAAGACCCUGGCUGAUAGCAGAGUGACCCCAGGAAACACAGUUCCUCAAUUGUGGGAUUCUGGCUGGGUUACCCACAGAUUCGUGCGUGCAUAGCGAACAAAAGGGAUGCUAGUAACCCGUGGCAUGGAGGGGCAGCAGGAUUACUCCAGUUAGCACUGGGAAUAGUGUGAGGGGCAUAUGGACCACAAAGCUUUGGGGGCUUUUGCUGCUGUUGCUCUUGAUUGCUAUGGCAACAGUAAUAAUUAUAAAGAUUGUAGAGUGAAAUGGAUGUUUCUGACUGCCCUGGAGAGUUUUUAAACAAUGGAAGAGAUAAACAUGAAGUAUUAAAUUCUUAUUUUAAGGUACAGAUAUGCUGAAAUCCAAAGAACCAUUUAUCUGGGAUAGGCACAGGACAGAAUAAGUUCAUCUUCAGAUACUAAAUAUAAUUGUACAGAUUACAGAAUUGUGGCAAAGGUUAAGUGCUCAACCUCAGCAAGUUCUCUUGCUAAGAUUAGGACACUGAUUGGGAAGGAGUAGGACCAUAGACUUGUGAUAGGAACAUUUGGACAGACACAGACAAAGCCGAAUUCCCAAAUCUCAAGGCUCCCUUGUAUACAGAAGCAGCCCCGCCUCCCCUGUGCAAGGAAAUUAGCCUUCACAUACACUAAGAGCUUUCAAGACUUCACUGGGGCCUCUGCCUCCCACAUGGAUGCCUGUUCUCCUCCAAACUUGCCCCUGAUGCACCUCAUUGACUCCAGGAGCAUAACAAGAAUAAACUCUCUACAGAGCCCAGAAGGAGAAAUGCAAGGUCAGCCAGAGAAGAGGAGGAUGGAAAUAGAUUAUAUACCACGAAAGCUGGAAAAUCUUGCCAAUAUGUGUUGCAGAGAAGCUGAGAACUGUGUAUGGGAAUGGAUUCUAAAGUGUUAGACUAAGGAGGAUGAAAUACUAGGUUAGGCCAGGCAUGGUGGCUCACACCUAUAUUCCCAGCACUUUGGAAGGCAGAGACAGGAGGAUAGCUUGAGGCCAGGAGUUCAGGACCAGCCUCGGCAACGCGGUGAGACACCGUCUCUACAAAAAAUGUAAAAAUUAGCCACGUGUGGUGGUGCACGCGUGCCUCUGGUCCCAGCUGCUCAAAGGCUGAGGUGGGAGGAUCAUUUGAACCUAGGAGGUCAAGGCUGCAGAGACCUAUAAUGGCACCAUUGCACUUCAGCCUGGUGACAGAGCAAGACCCUGUCUCGAAUAAAAUAUAAAGUAAGAUUCAGCAAAAUUUAUGAAUAUGCAUACAUUCCCCUGGGAUUUAUGAUUUAGUGUGUUAUAUAUUGGAGUGAUUAAAAUGUUUUAGACAAAAAAAAAAAAAAAAAAAAA
rnacentral:lncRNA from 1 species